GAAUAAGCACCGGCUAACUACGUGCCAGCAGCCGCGGUAAUACGUAGGGUGCAAGCGUUAUCCGGAAUUAUUGGGCGUAAAGGGCUCGUAGGCGGUUCGUCGCGUCCGGUGUGAAAGUCCAUCGCUUAACGGUGGAUCUGCGCCGGGUACGGGCGGGCUGGAGUGCGGUAGGGGAGACUGGAAUUCCCGGUGUAACGGUGGAAUGUGUAGAUAUCGGGAAGAACACCAAUGGCGAAGGCAGGUCUCUGGGCCGUUACUGACGCUGAGGAGCGAAAGCGUGGGGAGCGAACAGGAUUAGAUACCCUGGUAGUCCACGCCGUAAACGGUGGAUGCUGGAUGUGGGGCCCGUUCCACGGGUUCCGUGUCGGAGCUAACGCGUUAAGCAUCCCGCCUGGGGAGUACGGCCGCAAGGCUAAAACUCAAAGAAAUUGACGGGGGCCCGCACAAGCGGCGGAGCAUGCGGAUUAAUUCGAUGCAACGCGAAGAACCUUACCUGGGCUUGACAUGUUCCCGACCGCGGCAGAGAUGUCGUUUCCCUUCGGGGCGGGUUCACAGGUGGUGCAUGGUCGUCGUCAGCUCGUGUCGUGAGAUGUUGGGUUAAGUCCCGCAACGAGCGCAACCCUCGCCCUGUGUUGCCAGCACGUCAUGGUGGGAACUCACGGGGGACCGCCGGGGUCAACUCGGAGGAAGGUGGGGAUGACGUCAGAUCAUCAUGCCCCUUACGUCCAGGGCUUCACGCAUGCUACAAUGGCCGGUACAACGGGAUGCGAC
rnacentral:rRNA from 1 species